rnacentral:rRNA from 1 species
UGGGCUUGAACUGUGCAUGACAGGUGUAGAGAUACACCCUCCGCAAGGCAUGUACAGAGGUGCUGCAUGGUUGUCGUCAGCUCGUGUCGUGAGAUGUUGGGUUAAGUCCCGCAACGAGCGCAACCCCUACCCUUUGUUGCUACCAGAUAAUGCUGGGCACUCUAAGGGAACUGCCGGUGAUAACCGGAGAAGUGGGGAUGACGUCAAAUCAUCACGGCCCUUAUGUCCAGGGCUACACACGUGCUACAAUGGCCGGUACAAAGCGUUGCAAACCUGCGAAGGGGAGCCAAUCGCAAAAAACCGGUCUCAGUUCAGAUUGCAGUCUGCAACUCGACUGCAUGAAGCUGGAAUCGCUAGUAAUCGUGGAUCAGAACGCCACGGUGAAUACGUUCCCGGGCCUU